UACUGCUCAGUAACACGUGGCCAAACUACCCUGCAGAGGAGCAUAAUCUCGGGAAACUGAGGCUAAUACUCCAUACCGCACUCACGUUGGAACGACCGAGUGCACCAAACGCUCCGGCGCUGCAGGAUGUGGCUGCGGCCGAUUAGGUAGACGGUGGGGUAACGGCCCACCGUGCCGAUAAUCGGUACGGGUUGUGAGAGCAAGAGCCCGGAGACGGAAUCUGAGACAAGACUCCGGGCCCUACGGGGCGCAGCAGGCGCGAAACCUUUACACUGCACGACAGUGCGAUAAGGGGACCCCAAGUGCGAGGGCAUACAGUCCUCGCUUUUGUGUACCGUAAGGUGGUACACGAAUAAGAGCUGGGCAAGACCGGUGCCAGCCGCCGCGGUAAUACCGGCAGCUCAAGUGAUGACCGAUUUUAUUGGGCCUAAAGCGUCCGUAGCUGGCCGCGUAGGUUCGUCGGGAAAUCCAUCCGCUCAACGGAUGGGCGUCCGGCGAAAACCACGUGGCUUGGGACCGGAAGGCUCGAGGGGUACGUCCGGGGUAGGAGUGAAAUCCCGUAAUCCUGGACGGACCGCCGAUGGCGAAAGCACCUCGAGAAGACGGAUCCGACAGUGAGGGACGAAAGCUGGGGUCUCGAACCGGAUUAGAUACCCGGGUAGUCCCAGCCGUAAACAAUGCCUGUUAGGUGUGGCACCGACUACGAGUCGGUGCUGUGCCGUAGGGAAGCCGAUAAACAGGCCGCCUGGGAAGUACGUCCGCAAGGAUGAAACUUUAAAGGAAUUGGCGGGGGAGCACAAUCA
rnacentral:rRNA from 1 species